UACGGGGGGGGCAAGCGUUGUUCGGAAUUACUGGGCGUAAAGGGCUCGUAGGCGGCCAACUAAGUCCGACGUGAAAUCCCCAGGCUUAACCUGGGAACUGCGUCUGAUACUGGAUGGCUUGAGUUUGGGAGAGGGAUGCGGAAUUCCAGGUGUAGCGGUGAAAUGCGUAGAUAUCUGGAGGAACACCGGUGGCGAAGGCGGCAUCCUGGACCAAUACUGACACUGAAAAGCGAAAGCCAGGGGAGCAAACGGG
rnacentral:rRNA from 1 species